GGUGUGGCCGAUGACUGGGGUGAAGUCGUAACAAGGUAGCCGUAUCGGAAGGUGCGGCUGGAUCACCUCCUUU
rnacentral:rRNA from 1 species